AGAGUUUGAUCCUGGCUCAGGAUGAACGCUGGCGGCGUGCUAACACAUGCAAGUCGAACGAAGCGGUUACAGGGAUCCCUUCGGGAGGACGGUAAUGUCUGAGUGGCGGACGGGUGAGUAACGCGUGGGCAACCUGCCCCAUACCGGGGGAGUAACAGCCGGAAACGGCUGCUAAUACCGCAUACGCCCAGGAGGCUGCAUAGCUUCCUGGGGAAAACUCCGGUGGUAUGGGAUGGGCCCGCGUCUGAUUAGCUCGUUGGUGGGGUAACGGCCCGACCCAAGGCGACGAUCAGUAGCCGGCCUGAGAGGGCGGCCGGCCACAUUGGGACUGAGACACGGCCCAGACUCCUGCGGGAGGCAGCAGUGGGGAAUAUUGCACAAUGGGGGAAACCCUGAUGCAGCGACGCCGCGUGAGCGAUGAAGUAUCUCGGUAUGUAAAGCUCUAUCAGCAGGGAAGAAAGUGACAGUACCUGACUAAGAAGCCCCGGCUAACCACGUG
rnacentral:rRNA from 1 species